GACGGAAGGUGCAAGCGUUGCUCGGAAUCACUGGGCGUAAAGGGUGCGUAGGCGGUCGUGCAAGUCGGAUGUGAAAUCUCAGGGCUCAACCCUGAAACUGCAUUCGAUACUGCGUGGCUAGAGUGCUGGAGAGGAGACUGGAAUUUACGGUGUAGCAGUGAAAUGCGUAGAUAUCGUAAGGAAGACCAGUGGCGAAGGCGGCUCACUGGCCCGGUACUGACGCUGAGGUGCGAAAGCGUGGGGAGCAAACAGG
rnacentral:rRNA from 1 species